rnacentral:rRNA from 1 species
AUUGAACGCUGGCGGCAUGCCUUACACAUGCAAGUCGAACGGUAACAGGUCUUUGGAUGCUGACGAGUGGCGAACGGGUGAGUAAUACAUCGGAACGUGCCCGAUCGUGGGGGAUAACGAAGCGAAAGCUUUGCUAAUACCGCAUAAGAUCUACGGAUGAAAGCAGGGGACCGCAAGGCCUUGCGCGAACGGAGCGGCCGAUGGCAGAUUAGGUAGUUGGUGGGAUAAAAGCUUACCAAGCCGACGAUCUGUAGCUGGUCUGAGAGGACGACCAGCCAGACUGGGACUGAGACACGGCCCAGACUCCUACGGGAGGCAGCAGUGGGGAAUUUUGGACAAUGGGCGCAAGCCUGAUCCAGCCAUGCCGCGUGCAGGAUGAAGGCCUUCGGGUUGUAAACUGCUUUUGUACGGAACGAAAAGACUCUGGUUAAUACCUGGGGUCCAUGACGGUACCGUAAGAAUAAGCACCGGCUAACUACGUGCCAGCAGCCGCGGUAAAAC